UUUCAAGGAACCCUUAGGGUAUUAUUUGCAAUAUUUUGAAUAGUUAAAACAUUUUAAUUUCUCACGGAAAAUAUUUCAUUCAAUAUAUCGAGACAAAGAAGUACAGCAUUUUUUGAUUAUUACAAAGAGAAAAGGGAAAUAAACAUCCUAUGGAUCCCUAGAAGCUCGGGAUGCUGGAAGACGAGAAGUACACAGCUUC
rnacentral:lncRNA from 1 species